rnacentral:rRNA from 1 species
UACAGAGGGUGCUAGCGUUGUUCGGAAUCACUGGGCGUAAAGGGCGUGUAGGCGGGAAGGUAAGUCGGGCGUGAAAUCCCUGAGCUCAACUCAGGAACUGCACUCGAAACUACUUUUCUUGAGUGCCGGAGAGGAACGCGGAAUUCCAGGUGUAGCGGUGAAAUGCGUAGAUAUCUGGAGGAACACCGGUGGCGAAGGCGGCGUUCUGGACUGCAACUGACACUGAAAAACGAAAGCCAGGGGAGCAAACGGG